rnacentral:rRNA from 1 species
UACAGAGGCCUCGAGCGUUAGGCGGAAUCACUGGGCUUAAAGCGUGUGUAGGCGGACUUCUAAGUACCUUGGGAAAUCCCACGGCUCACCCGUGGAACUGCUCGGUAUACUGGUCGUCUUGAGCCUUCUAGGGGCGAGUGGAACAAAUGGUGGAGCGGUGAAAUGCGUAGAUAUCAUUUGGAACGCCAAUGGUGAAAACAGCUCGCUGGGAAUGAUCUGACGCUGAGACGCGAAAGCCAGGGGAGCGAACGGG